rfam:Schistosoma mattheei strain Denwood, Zambia genome assembly, scaffold: SMTD_scaffold0011540
GCAUUGUUGAAGAGUCCCAAAAUAGGACGAAAUAGCCAUUCAAUGC